rnacentral:rRNA from 1 species
UACGAAGGGUGCAAACGUUGCUCGGAAUUAUUGGGCGUAAAGGGCUCGUAGGCGGUUUGUCGCGUCGGGAGUGAAAUCCACUGGCUUAACUGGUGGCUUGCUUCGAUACGGGCAGACUAGAGGUAGGUAGGGGAGAAUGGAAUUCCCGGUGUAGCGGUGAAAUGCGCAGAUAUCGGGAGGAACACCGGUGGCGAAGGCGGUUCUCUGGGCCUUACCUGACGCUGAGGAGCGAAAGCGUGGGGAGCGAACAGG